rnacentral:rRNA from 1 species
GGCCAGACUCCUACGGGAGGCAGCAGUGGGGGAUAUUGCACAAUGGAGGAAACUCUGAUGCAGCGACGCCGCGUGAGGGAAGACGGUCUUCGGAUUGUAAACCUCUGUCUUUGGGGAAGAAAAUGACGGUACCCAAAGAGGAAGCUCCGGCUAACUACGUGCCAGCAGCCGCGGUAAUACGUAGGGAGCGAGCGUUGUCCGGAAUUACUGGGUGUAAAGGGAGCGUAGACGGCAUGGCAAGUCAGAUGUGAAAGCCCGGGGCUCAACCCCGGGACUGCAUUUGAAACUGUCAGGCUGGAGUGCAGGAGGGGCAGGCGGAAUUCCUGGUGUAGCGGUGAAAUGCGUAGAUAUCAGGAGGAACACCGGUGGCGAAGGCGGCCUGCUGGACUGCGACUGACGUUGAGGCCCGAAAGCGUGGGGAGCAAACAGGAUUAGAUACCCGAGUACA